rnacentral:tRNA from 1 species
GGAGUUUUGCGUACUCUAGAAAUCUACAGCAGAGUGUCGUACCGCUUUUGCACGGCGGAGGUCAGGGGUUCGAACCCCUCGGCUCCA